rnacentral:misc_RNA from 1 species
GGAAGUAAAAGUCUAACAAGGUUUCCGUAGGUGAACCUGCGGAAGGAUCAUUCAUAAUAAAGUGUUUUAUGGCACUUUUUAAAAAUCCAUAUCCACCUUGUGUGCAAUGUUAGAUCUCGUCAAUCUUGGCGAGAUUUUUAUACAUCAGCUCAUUCUUUAACUAAUUUGUCUGAAAAAUAUUAUGAAUACUUAAUUCAAAAUACAACUUUCAACAACGGAUCUCUUGGCUCUC